AUGCAACUUAACGUAUGACUAUAUACAUGUUCCUUCAACAAUUUAGACCUACCUAUAUGUAUGUAGGUCUUUUUAUCCUCAGAUUACUGACAAAACGUGAGAUAUUUUUUUUAAGAAAAAUUAGUUUCAGGUUUGGGGAAUUCCAAAUCACCCUUUUUGAGGCUUUUUUUUUAGGAAAGUAAGUUUAAGAUUUUCCGCAGCUACAGCUACAACAGUUGCGUGAUUUGGAAAAUGGGGAAUUCCACAGGGUUUCUGAGACAUUCGUCGCCGCCGCGCGCAUUGGCGAGGCGGAGAGAGAGUGAGAGUGAGGAGGAGUUUGGGUGAUCUCUCCCCCGUCGCUAGGGCAUUCGCUUCCUCCCUCCUUAAGCACGCACGUCUCUUGUAUAGCAGAUGACCACAAUGCAUAUUAAAUUUCAAAACCAUAUCCUCAGAGUUCUACCAGCAAAGUAAGUGGCUCAGAUCAUGAUCACGAUCCUAUUUGCAUUGUCAUCAUGUUCAUCAGAAACUUAGCGUCACGUCGGAAAUAGAGCAUGCCGAUGAGGCCCCACAUGCAGCCUAUGUUCUCCUGACGCCUAGCCAGUCUUUGACUUCUCUUCCCCAUCAGGUUUGGUUCCUGAGAGAAACUCUGCAGUUAGCUGAUGAACACUUAGGAUUCAUCCCGAUGAACCAUGCAAGCCAAGAAUGAAAGAACAAAAGAAAUGAGAUUUUGCAGGAGCAAGAGAAGAUGAAAUGCAGCAAACUGGCAGCAUAAAACCAACAGAUAUUGCUUCAUGCGAAACUUACGUGAUAACCGAGAGAUCGCAGGGAACUUCACCACUCUGAAGUCUGAACCAAGAAACCAGAUGAAGACGAGCAUUAAAAUUCUUCAGGACAUGUUGUUGGCCAUGUGAAGAGAUGCUAGGACCUGAGCUGUGCUUCCUUUUGGCAACGAUGACGGAAGGAAUCAGAAGCCUUUCUUGCACAAGCCUCGGUCAGUUCUAGUAGCUUUUCCUCUCUCCCCUCUUCUGUUUUCUGUUACUCCUACUUCUCUUCUCGCCCUGCUGUGAAGAGUGGACUGGAGCGAAGGCAACACUAACUAACUAGGUAAGGUAGCUAAUGGCGCUGUAGCAGCCCACACCACAUGGCUUGCACAAGCAAAAUGGACUUUCGGCCAGUGUCCCACGCACCACUUUUCCCCACUCGCACAAAAAGUAAUUGCUAGCUGCAGGCAAAAGCUGAAGCGAGCCCUUGAUAAAUUCUGUGUUGAGCCUGUAGCAAUGAUAUAAUCUCGUGGGUCUUGAGGUGUUUGUAGUUGUAGGUGCCCAGAUAUGAAAGUAUCAUAGGAGUAUACGAGUAUAAAGAGAUUGGUUUUGCA